rnacentral:rRNA from 1 species
UACGGAGGGUGCAAGCGUUAUCCGGAUUCACUGGGUUUAAAGGGUGCGUAGGAGGGCAGGUAAGUCAGUGGUGAAAUCCCCGAGCUUAACUUGGGAACUGCCGUUGAUACUAUCUGUCUUGAAUACCGUGGAGGUGAGCGGAAUAUGUCAUGUAGCGGUGAAAUGCUUAGAUAUGACAUAGAACACCGAUAGCGAAGGCAGCUUGCUACACAAAAAUUGACGCUGAGGCACGAAAGCGUGGGGAUCAAACAGG